rnacentral:rRNA from 1 species
UGACCACGUACCUUUUGUAUAAUGGGUCAGCGACUUAGUGUGACGAGCAAGCUUAAACCGGUAGGUGUAGGCGCAGCGAAAGCGAGUCUGAACAGGGCGUUCAGUUCGUCGCAUUAGACCCGAAACCGAGUGAUCUAGCCAUGAGCAGGUUGAAGGUAAGGUAACACUUACUGGAGGACCGAACCCAUAACUGUUGCAAUAGUUCGGGAUGACUUGUGGCUAGGGGUGAAAGGCCAAUCAAACUCGGAAAUAGCUGGUUCUCCGCGAAAUCUAUUUAGGUAGAGCGUCGACCGAAUACCCCAGGGGGUAGAGCACUGGAUGGGCUAGGGGUCCUCACCGGAUUACCAAACCUAACCAAACUCCGAAUACCUGGGAGUACUAGUCGGCAGACACACGGCGGGUGCUAACGUCCGUCGUGAAAAGGGAAACAACCCUGACCUACAGCUAAGGUCCCCAAGUUAUGGCUAAGUGGGAAAGGAUGUGAGGAUCCCAAAACAACCAGGAUGUUGGCUUAGAAGCAGCCAUCAUUUAAAGAAAGCGUAACAGCUCACUGGUCUAAAUAAGGGUCUUUGCGCCGAAAAUGUAACGGGGCUAAAGCCAUACACCGAAGCUUAGGGUUCGUGAGCAAUCACGAGCGGUAGCGGAGCGUUCUGUAAGCUGAUGAAGCCGUACCCGUGAGGGGCGGUGGAGGUAUCAGAAGUGCGAAUGCUGACAUGAGUAACGUAAGGGGAGUGAGAGACUCCCCCGCCGAAAGACCAAGGGUUCCUGCUUAAAGUUAAUCUGAGCAGGGUUAGCCGGCCCCUAAGACGAGGCGGAAACGCGUAGUCGAUGGGAACCACGUUAAUAUUCGUGGGCCUGGAGGUAGUGACGGAUCACACAAGUUGUCCAAUCUUAUCGGAUUGAACGGGCAGCGGAGUGGUUCCAGGAAAUAGCUCCUCCUUAUAGACCGUACCCGAAACCGACACUGGUGGUCAGGUAGAGUAUACCAAGGCGCUUGAGAGAACUAUGCUGAAGGAACUCGGCAAAUUGCACGCGUAACUUCGGAAGAAGCGUGACCCUUUUCUACGCAAGUGGAGGAGGGUGGCACAGACCAGGGGGUAGCGACUGUUUAUCAAAAACACAGGGCUCUGCGAAGCCGCAAGGCGACGUAUAGGGUCUGACGCCUGCCCGGUGCUGGAAGGUUAAGAGGAGGGGUGCAAGCUCUGAAUCGAAGCCCCAGUAAACGGCGGCCGUAACUAUAACGGUCCUAAGGUAGCGAAAUUCCUUGUCGGGUAAGUUCCGACCUGCACGAAUGGCGUAACGACUUCCCCGCUGUCUCCAGCAUAGACUCAGUGAAAUUGAAUUCCCCGUGAAGAUGCGGGGUUCCUGCGGUUAGACGGAAAGACCCCGUGCACCUUUACUAUAGCUUUACAUUGGCAUUCGUAGUGGCAUGUGUAGGAUAGGUGGUAGGCUUUGAAGCCUGGGCGCCAGCUCAGGUGGAGCCACCCUUGAAAUACCACCCUUAUUACUAUGGAUGUCUAACCGCGGCCCGUUAUCCGGGUCCGGGACAAUGUAUGGUGGGUAGUUUGACUGGGGCGGUCGCCUCCUAAAGAGUAACGGAGGCGCGCGAUGGUGGGCUCAGAACGGUCGGAAAUCGUUCGCUGAGUGCAAUGGCAUAAGCCUGCCUGACUGCGAGACUGACAAGUCGAGCAGAGACGAAAGUCGGUCAUAGUGAUCCGGUGGUCCCGCGUGGAAGGGCCAUCGCUCAACGGAUAAAAGGUACGCCGGGGAUAACAGGCUGAUGACCCCCAAGAGUCCAUAUCGACGGGGUUGUUUGGCACCUCGAUGUCGACUCAUCGCAUCCUGGGGCUGGAGCAGGUCCCAAGGGUAUGGCUGUUCGCCAUUUAAAGCGGUACGUGAGUUGGGUUCAGAACGUCGUGAGACAGUUCGGUCCCUAUCUGCCGUGGGUGUAGGAAUAUUGAAAGGAUCUGUCCCUAGUACGAGAGGACCGGGAUGGACGGAUCUCUGGUGGACCUGUUGUGGCGCCAGCCGCAUCGCAGGGUAGCUAUAUCCGGACGGGAUAACCGCUGAAGGCAUCUAAGCGGGAAACCCACCUUGAAACGAGUAUUCCCUGAGAACCGUGGAAGACGACCACGUUGAUAGGCCGGGUGUGGAAGAGCGGCAACGCUUGAAGCUUACCGGUACUAAUAGUUCGAUAGGCUUGAUCGUUCUCAUU